rnacentral:miRNA from 1 species
GGUAUGGAGUCCGCUGGUAUCCAUGAAACCGCCUACAACAGCAUCAUGAAGUGCGACAUCGACAUUCGUAAGGACCUGUAUGCA